rnacentral:piRNA from 1 species
AGUGUAAAAGGAGGAAAGGGGUGGA